rnacentral:rRNA from 1 species
UACGAAGGGUGCUAGCGUUGUUCGGAAUUACUGGGCGUAAAGCGCGCGUAGGCGGCGAUACAAGUCAGGGGUGAAAUCCUGGGGCUCAACCCCAGAAUUGCCCUUGAAACUGUAUCGCUUGAGUGUCGGAGGGGAUAGCGGAAUUGCUAAUGUAGAGGUGAAAUUCGUAGAUAUUAGGAGGAAUACCGGUGGCGAAGGCGGCCUCUGGACCAUUCUUGACGCUGAGACGCGAAAGCGUGGGGAGCAAACAGG